UCAAAAUGUCAAAAGGGAUAUUUAUGUGUUUGAGCUACCCACAUACUCAGAAGGUGGUAUGUUCCAGUUACUAGUAUUUCCUUCAGUGGAAGCGACAAAAAUCAUGGUCUGCUUGGGGUGGCAUGCGCCUGCAUGGUGCUGCUGGUGGAGGGCUUGGUGGCAAGAAAUGCUGCAACAAAACGCACUGCUGGAGAAAGUUGCAAACUGAAAGAUAUGGCAAAUCUCACAAGACACCAGAUGAGAGGCACCUUGUUAAACUUUGACAAAGCCAAUGGGGAACACCUUGGUACUUGGUCGCCUGGAUUCCCUGAGCUGGAGGUUCACCUAAACUCUCCUCUCAAUGCAUCAAAAGUCCUGUGUAGCCUCACUUUCAUGGCUGAAGGUCUGGAGAAAAUCUUGGAGGAUCAGAAGGAUGAUCUGAAUCCCACAAAUAUCUCACUUCACAAUAUGCUUAGAGAAACAAUUGAACAAGUCAAGAUGCUUAAAGGGUGUGUGAGAUUGUCUUUCAAGGCCGAAUGUCCAAAGAAAAUAUUGCCACCCAAGAAGCCUGAGUAUGGUUUUGAGAGGAAACAGUGGAGCCAUACUCUGUUGAUGUCAGCCGAGAAAUAUCUAGGUUGGCUGCAGCAUAUAAUUCCAGAUAGAAAGGCCAGACAGAUUAGCAAAAAGACCCUUCAUGCUAGUAGCACUGAUUCUAAAUACCUAGAAGGCAGUGUACAUUAUUUGUGAUCUCAUCUGAAAAUAGUUUGUUUCAAAUGCUGAUCUGAUUACAACUAGUGCCUUUAACUUCACCAUUAGUGACUUACAUUAAUGCAGCAUUUUUUUUUACCUUUGUAAGACUAUAAUAAUUGAAAGUAGGUUAUAUAAUAAUAAUAAUAAUAAUAAUAAUUUUAAAGUAAACUGACAACUCUAAUGGUACAACUUACAUAAACUUGUGUUUAUCAAACAGCCAAUAUGACUCAUAUUUAUCUUUUAGGAGCACAGUUCAGAAGCAGUUGGUCUAAUUUAGAAAAUAAAUAGCUGCCAUUUAGCAUAGCAAUACAGAAAAAAAUACUAAGGAUACAUUUCCAAACCAAGACUUAAAAUUAUAAUAAAAGUGGCAAACUUCAAAAUAAAAUGGAAGAGAUUACUUGCUAAAAGGAAUAUUAUCAUACUUCUAAGUAUUGCUGUUAAGCUAACAUUAUGCUAGGUUAGGAUUUUUCUAUACUUCCUGUGCAUCAUUUCACCUACAUGGGCCAGUUUACUAAAAUUAAGACAUUGCUACAUACAAGCUAUAUCGGAAAUGACUGUUUUAUUAAAUUUGAUAACCUCCAGCAAUCGACACAUUUCUCUGUGGCUGUAAUUAAUCAACUUGAGAAGGAGUUCUAAUUCACUUAAUUACAGAAGAGUGUUUUCUUAGCCUUCACAGUGAUUAAUUGUUUUGCUCUGGUCACCCAUCCCUUGUGAGAAGACCAAACUGCCUGAGGGGAAAAGUUCAUCUGGAAGAAUCGCUUUCUGAGGGUUGUUGGUUUAGCCUUUAAUCAACAAACUGGGCAGGGAAAUUUGCAGCCAGAUGGGUAUCCAGCCUUGCAUCAAAGAAAUAAUAAAGCAAUAUUGUAAAACAUGAGAUGAUUAAUUCUGGUCUCAUCCUCAUCACAUCAGGUGAUGAAUUCAUUCUUUGCCAUUUAUUCUUUUGCAUAACUGUUACAUUAGUGUUCAAAAUGUGUAACGUUUCUCCAGACUUAAAUUAAUUUUGUCAAUGUGCUGAUCCACAUUCAUGGAUUUGGAAAGUAUAUGUAUACUUUUUGUUGUAUCAAUAAAGUUGUCAUUUCAAGA